rnacentral:tRNA from 1 species
GGGGGCGUGGCGAAGCUGGUUAUCGCGCCGGCCUGUCAAGCCGGAGGCCGCGGGUUCAAGUCCCGUCGCUCCCG